rnacentral:ncRNA from 1 species
AAGAGUGUUGAGAGGAGCUGUCCCUAGUACGAGAGGACCGGGACGGACGCAUCUCUAGUGUACCAGUUGUGGCGCCAGCUGCAUCGCUGGGUAGCUACAUGCGGAUCGGAUAACCGCUGAAUGCAUCUAAGCGGGAAGCCGGCCUCAAGAUGAGCACUCUCGGAUGGUAACGCAUCCCAUAGACCUGUUGAAGACGACAACGUUGAUAGGCGGCAGGUGGAAGCGCGGUGACGUGUGAAGCUGAGCCGUACUAAUCGGUCAUGUGGCUUGACCUU